CUACGGGGUGCUGCAGUGAGGAAUAUUGCACAAUGGGGGGAACCCUGAUGCAGCAACGCCGCGUGGAGGAUGACGCAUUUCGGUGUGUAAACUCCUUUUAUAUGUCAAGAAAAUGACGGUGGCAUAUGAAUAAGCACCGGCUAACUCCGUGCCAGCAGCCGCGGUAAUACGGAGGGUGCAAGCGUUACUCGGAAUCACUGGGCGUAAAGGACGCGUAGGCGGGUUGGAAAGUCAGGUGUGAAAUCCUACAGCUUAACUGUAGAACUGCACUUGAAACUUCUAACCUAGAGUAUGGGAGGGGGAGAUGGAAUUAGUGGUGUAGGGGUAACAUCCGUAGAUAUCACUAGGAAUACCUAAAGCGAAGGCGAUCUCCUGGAACAUUACUGACGCUAAGGCGUGAAAGCGUGGGGAGCAAACAGGAUUAGAUACCCCCGUAGUC
rnacentral:rRNA from 1 species